GACGAACGCUGGCGGCGUGCUUAACACAUGCAAGUCGAACGGAAAGGCCCUGCUUUUGUGGGGUGCUCGAGUGGCGAACGGGUGAGUAACACGUGAGUAACCUGCCCUUGACUUUGGGAUAACUUCAGGAAACUGGGGCUAAUACCGGAUAGGAGCUCCUGCUGCAUGGUGGGGGUUGGAAAGUUUCGGCGGUUGGGGAUGGACUCGCGGCUUAUCAGCUUGUUGGUGGGGUAGUGGCUUACCAAGGCUUUGACGGGUAGCCGGCAUGAGAGGGUGACCGGCGACAAUGGGACUGAGAUACGGAGCAGACUCCAACGGGAGGCAGCAGGGGGGAGUAUGGCACAGUGAGCGGGAGCCUGAGGCGGCAGCGCCGCGGGCGGGAUGACGGCCUUCGGGUUGUAAACCGCUUUCGCCUGUGACGAAGCGGGAGUGACGGUAAUGGGUAAAGAAGCACCGGCUAACUACGUG
rnacentral:rRNA from 1 species